rnacentral:lncRNA from 1 species
UAUUCAAAAUGGAGGAAGUUAUUGUUUUCCCAUAAAUCACCUAGUUUAGUCAGUUCUGGGUGAUUUGUGUUUGAAAAAAUCUUCCAUCACAGAUGCAGGGAAGGGAGAAAAGAGCUUCCAGACUUUUCCUCCUUUUGUAUGCCAGGCACUGUGCAAAACAAUCUACUUUUAUUAACUCAUUUAAUCUCUACAACAAGCUGAUGAAGAAUAUCUGAGAUGCAAAAGAUGAGGAAGCUGAAGAUUAGAGGUAGUUAUUGCUUGUGGUUAAUAGUUAAGAAGGGCAGAGCCAGAACUUUUUCUGAUUUCCCGUGUCUCCCAACUAUUCCAUGCUGUCUCCCAGGGAAAAUCAAGGGUCAGAGAAUAUUUCAUUCUGACGUCAGUUAAAGAUUGAAGUAAGGCUGUUGGGUUACUUCACCAGGAGCCGUAGAACACCGAGAGAGUUAGAAAACUAGAAAACUGUGAUCCAGUCAUACAUUAUCUUAAAAACGAACAAAACUUUAUCAAAGUUCCUAAAUUAUUCCCUGCUUAGAAAAAUAAUAAAGAUUUCUCUUAGAUAACUACAAUUAUAUUUUCAGUGACAUACAAGGAUGAUGGCAGAUCUUAACUCAAUUGAGUGUUUUGCUAUUCACUCUCCUUUUCUUGAUGCCGUCGCACUACUUAAUCUGGCAAACUUGCAGUGACACUAUUUGACCAGAAUUCCCUUCAGGCAUCGCGCUCAGAUUUGUGUUUAAUUUUGAACCAAGUUCUGUUGGCCUGAUGACCGGGCGUGACUCUUUUCUCUCAUCAGCCAUGCCAUCAAAAGCUUCUUGAGCUGUGUAGGAAAUUAACUAAUGCCCACUACACCCAGUGUGUUCCAAACAUUGAAAUGACAGUUGUCUUAAUUUCUUAAGGGUAGCAUACCUAAGGGAAAAAAGAAACAGUUUCUAAAGAACACGGUUAAAAAAAAUAUGUUAAUACUCCUAGUCCAAUUUCCUACUUCCGUGAGAGAACAAACAUAAGCACAAACACCUGAUGCUCUCCAGGCCAAGCCCUGGGACUUAACACCCUCUUUCAGUUUCUUGCUCCAGCAUUUGACAGUCCUGCU